rnacentral:lncRNA from 1 species
UGGCUCAAUAUGUUGACAAGGAGAUUAAAAAUGUAGAAGAAGAAUGCAAAAAGUUAGAGGUAGGACAAUUGGCCAAAGAAGAGGAGUUGGGUACUAAAGUGUAAGCCUCUAUAGCUAUGAAUCAUUAUCUCUAUGAAAAUUUAAAAGUUUUACAACAAUAUUAUUAAUAUUAAGUGUAAAGCUCGUUAUCAUGGAUAACAAAACAUCAUUCACAUAAAAAGGACUAUGAAAUUUCUUUGAAGACCACGAUAUCAAACAUAUGAAAUUUCUUUGAAGACCUCAAUAUCAAACACUUCACUUCCUAUGGGUUUACUAAGUGUUCAUAUCAAGUUAUGGGGAAUCGUGAAAAGUAGCAUAAGCUUUGCAAACUCUUAUGAAAUGAGAAUUGGAAUCAAAAUGCUUCCUCCUAAACAUUAAUGUAAUAGAAGUUGAGAGUUAAUUCAAAAUGAAAUCUUAUGAUUUUUACUAUUUUCAAGCUUUCUAAGCUUUUACCAUUCAAUUUCUCCAAAUUCUCAAAAUCUUAACAAAUUUAGCUAAGUUGGUUGAAUAUCACAUUUUAUAUGGGCAGAGAUCCUCUUUGGUGAGGAUUUCACUGCGG